rnacentral:tRNA from 1 species
UCCCAUGUGGUCUAGUGGUUAAGAUUCGUGGCUUUCACCCACGCGGCCCGGGUUCGAUUCCCGGCAUGGGAA